rnacentral:lncRNA from 1 species
AAAAACAACAAAAUCAAAACCUAAAAUUUCUACUCCCCCCUCUCUCCAUCCGUCUCCCCUCUCCCUUCUCUCUUCCUCUCCUCCAUUUUUUUCGGCAAAAGCCAUCAUCGUCGGUGAGCUCUCCCUCUCGCUCCUUCUUCGUUUUUCUUUUCUCCCUUCUUCCCCCUCCUCUCCUCCCCUCUUCUUCUCCUUUUAUCCUCAUCUGACCAGCAGCCUGCGAGCCCCGCCAGCAGCAGCCGGCAACGCAAGGCCACAGCGAACAGCAGCCGCCUCUUCUUUCUCCUCUCCGACGCACGCAGCAGCAGCAACCCACCAGCAGCCUGCGCAGCAGCAGCACCUGGAGCGGCGCACGACAGCAGUCAGGCCACUCCGGCCAGCAGCUGCGACCAACAGCAGCAACUGGCGCCCCUCUCUUCUCUCUCCCUUCUCCAGCGCUACUCUCUCCCCCCCUCCCGUCUCUUCUCUUCCCUUCUUCUUCUAUUUUUAUGCAGGCACCAGCGCCUCCCGCCAGCAAGCAGCUCACUCGCCCUUUCCUCUUCCGGUGACACAACGGGCAACAAUUCAGGCUAUGGUCAGCAAUGGCGUGAAAUCCGAACUUAGUGUUUGAGAAAUGGCGGAUCUGGACAGAUCCGUCUAGGUUUGUUCUAGUCAAUUAAUUGUUAUUCAUCUCUUAAUAUUCUUAGUUGUUGGUCCUUGGCAUGCUCUGGAUUUCUAUACAUCUACUUUAUGUGAGUAAAAAUGUUUUGAACUGCAUUGUAGAAGGAGCCAUGAGUUUUUCUUUUUUUUUAUCUUAAGCAUGUUUCGUUGUAAGUUGCUGAUGUUUGAAUGCUCUUAUAUCUAUAUAAUUGGCUUCAUUAUAAUUUGAUGAUAUGCAGAAAGAAAUAAUAUGUUCUUGAUUUAGAAUUGUGGACCCUUGGUUUUAAAUUGAUUAACUUCUUAAACUAAUAUGAUGCAAAUUUUCCCUCAACUUUGAUGCCUACGGAUUUGUUUUUGAUAUCAACUUAGUAAUUUUGUAUGAUCCUUUUGUUGAACUACGUGACUGAUGCACAUGAUGAAAUUGUAGGUUCUGUGAUCUUUGUAAUAUUGAUACCUCUCCCUUAAUUAAUUACUCUUGCCCGACGAAUUUGUAAUUGAUAGCUUAUUAAUCAAUUUCUUGUUUUAUUCGGUUGUGUAUAUUUUUGACAUGUUAAUUUUGGUUUUAGUAUUUUUGAAUUUGACUCAUAUUUGGCUCUUCAUUAUUUAAGGAAAAAUUAUAUAUCUCUUCCCAAUUUUAUAUUUUACUUGCUUACAUGGUAAAGUAAUAUUAUUUUUUGGCUCUUCUUUGGGAAAAUAUAUUCUCUUAUUUAUUUAUAUUUGGUAAAAUAUAUAAAAGAUAAAGGAUAAUUUCUUAUUUGUUUAUAUAUGGUCAAAAAUAAUUAAUUAUUUUCUGAUUUUGGAUUCAUCUUCAUUUGUGAAAAUAUUACUCUAUUAAUUUAUUCUUACUUGUUUAUAUUUGGUAAUGAAAUAUUUUAACAUAUUUUCUGAUUUGGAUAUCCUUUAAAAUAAGGAAAAUUGUAUUAUGAUUGAUUCCUUGAAAUAUUUAUUUCCCUUAUUUGUUCCCCCUCCUCUACUAUAUAAAGAGACUCCUUUUAUUCAUUCAAAAUAUACCCAUUCACUCUCAACCAAAAAUUCUCUCAUCACUCUCCCUUCUCUCAUUGCUCUCUUGCUACUUUAAACAAUAUAUUAAUAUUUCGGCAAAUAUUCAAGUGCUUUUCUCCGCUAUUUUCCUGCUUUGUUCGAGUACAAGGUGAAUCAUUUUGUUUUGUUUAACAGGUUUCAUAUUUGAAGUUCAAGUUGAAGAUUAACUGAAGAAGGAUUUGUUUAUUUGUUUGAAUGUAUAUAUGUCUAUAUAUUUUAUUUUUUCCGCUAUUUUAUUUAUUCGAAUGUUGUAACAAUUGUAACCCUAAGAUCAUAUAAUAAAGUUAUUUGGGGGUCGUCUAGGGGAGGGGGAUUUAUAUGCUUACUUGCUCAUUAUUUUUUUUUUUAGAAAUCAUGCCUAUAGGUUUGUCUUUAACCACCUAGAUUUGAUAUUUGUAGGUGUUAUAAUCUAAUCAAUUUUCAAUUUGCUUGACGUUUUUGUUAACAAGCCUUAAAAAAAUAAGAACUAGAGUCCAUUAAUUUUUAAAUGUUAAAAUCAAAUCCUAAUAAAUCUAGUAGGUUGUUAGAUGUUAAAAUAUUAUAAAUUCUCAUUUGUCUUAUCAUGUAGAAACCAUGUCUAAGGUUUAAUUUGUUCAUACCAUUUACGAAAUCAUGCAUAUAUAUGUUACUUUUUUUGAACACCUAGAAAUCAUGUCUAUAGGUUUGUAAAUAAGAGAAUAAAAUUUGUUUGUGCAUAUUUGAGUCCUCCCCUAAAAUUAAUUAAUAUUAUUUAACUAGUAAUCCCAUUUGUUUUCCACAUUCGUGAUGCAAUAUUUUUUUCUUUUUUCUUAAUACUAACUUAGAAUCAUUUCAUGCAUUUAACUUGGCUUUAAAAAAUAUUUCAAAACCUUGUAACAUAAAUUUUUUUUUUAAAAAAAGUCAUUAUUCAAUCUUUCUUUAAAUUUUGGAUUGAUUAUGACUCUACUUUAUUUUGAAAUAAAUUAUAAAAUACUAUCUCCUAACCUAUCGUUAGUGGGAAAGUCAAAGGAACUACGAGGUCUAGUUCCAAUUUUUUAAAACCGAUGCGUCCCCGGAAGUACCACUUCCCAUGAAUUUCAAAAAGAAUUAUGUGCAUUUAUAUGUAAUUGUUUAUGUGCCUACGUGUGAACUAAAUAUUUUAAAUCAUUUUUCAAAACAUAACUAUUUUUAGACCGACCUCAAAUCAAAAUUGUUUCUAUGGUGGAGGAGCACGAUCAAUAAUAUCGUGGCAUCAUCCCUAUAAAGAAACAAACAUUUUUUAAAAAAAAAAAAAUAAAAAAAAUUAAAAAAUUCCUAUUCAAAACUUAUCAAUUUUCAAACUUUAUUUUCGCACAUAUUAAUUGCUUAAUAUUUGCCAAUUUUGUUUAUAACAUAGUGUCGUAUGUCAAAAUAAAUAUUUAUUGCCAUCACCUAGCUUUACAUAUCUAAAUAAGAAUAAUAGUCUUAAUUGUUUCGUAUUUGUUAUCACUUAGUAAGAUUAAAUAAAUUAAUAAACGACCUUGAUUGCUAUUUGUACCCCCACAUAGAUUGCAUGAGAUACGGCCGGGACCCACACUUGUGGACCUCGAGGGAUGCCUAACACCUUCCCCUCGAGGUAAUUUGAACCCUUACCCUAAUCUCUGGCCCGUUGACCUUAGUUAGACUUAGUUAGGUUAGAUAGGCGCCCUAACGCGCCUUAAUUCGUUAGGUGGCGACUCCAAAACUCAAAAAUCCCAAAAGAGUUGUUAGGUCGUGCACAAAACCCGUUUUCCGCGAAAAUGGGGCGCGACAGAAUGGCGACUCCGCUGGGGAUGUUAGGUUCUUACCAUUACGUGUUAACUGCUUAUUUAUGUGGGGUUUAUUUUAUUCAUUAGGUGCUUACUAUGUUUUGUUGCCCUAUUUAUUAUCUCAUCUUCAUGUUCCUCCCUUUCCCUUUCCCUUAAUUGUUUAUUAUCAUGUUUCACCUCUUCCCUCUCCCCUUAUUUGUUUACAUGUUUAAUCUCGUAUCCUCUUGCUUUAUUUGCGUAGUUUUCAUAUCUUUAUAUGUCUACUUUCCUUUAUUUAUGCUUAUUUAUUUAUUGUUUAUAAACUGCCUAUAUGUUACCGUUUUCCAAUUUAAAUGCUAAAUGUUUACUGCUUUAAUAAAUUGGCAUCCCGCUCAUACUUUCCCCAAUUGGGACCCUCUUCCUUUUUAUUUUGUUCUCGUGAUGUUGUGCCUUUGCACCUCUCACAACUACUCCAAUCUUAUACAAAUACCCAUUAUAGAGAGUCGGCAUAUGCGUGGACGUAGUGGAUAGUUUUACUACCGCGAAGCCACGAGCCUCUCGCAUAGAAUCCCUUUCAAGUCCGUGUCAAGCCAACUCUUAGAAGUCCUGGUUAAGUCAUACAUGCUGCAUAAGCCCUAGGAGGUUUGACCCUUGGUGUCAAUCCAUGUAAUUAGUAGCCACUUUCUCGUCUGAAGGGCCCCAACACCCUUAGACAAAUUGCAUAUUUAUGUGUCAACGUGAUCAUAAUAAUUAAAUCAAGCCAACAUUGCCAAAAUGGAGUUUAGAAGUUGUUUGUUACUUUGUUUGCAGAGUCAUGGCUCACCCCCACUUUCCAAACACGCAAAUGAUGGUCAAAGCUAAUCCCAUUUUGAAGACUUGGUGGAAAGAUAUACAAAAAAAUCGAGAGUUAGAAGCGAAUGAAUUGUUAGGCGGCCUCACUGCUUUGAUCUCCGUAGAGUCAGAUCGUCACUUAAUCAAGGCAUUGUUGAAAUUCUGGGACACUGAGAGGUUAGUCUUCAAGUUCAGGGAUUUUGAGCUAACUCCAACAAUAGAAGAAGUUGGAGGAUUCAUGGGUCUCGCAUACAAAGAGUUGGAAAUGAUUGUUCCACACAAGCCAAGUCCAAGAUCUUUUUUGAAGCAAAUGGGCAUGUGUCAUAAUCCAAAUCUACUUUGUCUGAAAGAAGGCUGGAUUUCUUUAGAGUUCUUAUAUUCACGCUUUGGGGAUGAGGAAGGUCAUCAAAACUUUCAUAGGGAAUUUGCUUGCUCUUCUGCAAAAUGGGAAAGGUAUCGUCUUAAUGCAUUCGCUGUCGCCCUAUUAGGCUCAUUGGUUUUUCCUAGAGAAGGAGGAAAGAUCCACACCGGCUUAUGUUAUGUGGUUCGUAUGUUGGCUCGAGGUGGGAAAACCUUGGUCCCUAUGAUACUCGCAGAAAUUCUAAGAGCUUUGACUGCAUGCAACAAAGGCAAAAGAUACUUUGAAGGGUGCAACUUUCUGCUGCAACUUUGGGCCGUCGAACAUUUCUACCAAAGAGUUAAUAAAGUAGACAUCGUCAGAGGGACUAUGGGGAACAAAAUUAUCAACCAUCCCCUAAGGAUGAAACAUUUUAUCUCCCCUGUGGGAACAGAGGACUGGUUCACAUACCUAAAGGAGCGGUCAGCCGUUGAAAUCCAAUGGAAGUAUUAUUGGUUGAAGCCACGACGUGCCAUCAUAAGAGGAAAUGAACUUUACUUCAUUGAGCUUAUCGGUUUGAACGGUGUGCAACCUUACGCACCACUUCGAGUCCUUCGACAAUUCGGACAGAUCCAAAUGAUACCUCUACGAUCCCACAUGAGCCACUAUGGAUAUGACUUUGGGUCAGAAUUACCGCAAGUGAACACCAUACUGCGAAGAUGGAAGAAUGUGAUAACUAUCGAUGUUCAAGAGCACCGACCCUUCUGCAUACCUGAAUAUUAUGUAUGGCUUUUAGAAGAUGCAGAGCAUAGAGAUUUAAGCGAAGGAGGCCUUCCUGGUUUUGGCGACGAAAAAGAGAGAAGAUGGGCUCGCAACCUCCUCAACACUGAUUAUGACAUUACCCUAGAAAUGAAGAAGCAGAUUGUGCCUAUCAUUGGAGAGCAACACGAUUAAAGCUUUUAUUAUUAUUUAUUUCUCUUUACUCCCCAUAUGUUAUCCCUAGCCCUUUAGUUAUCUUUAGAUUGAUGUAAUAAACAGAAAUUAUUUCAAUAAUCGAAAGUUGUUCUAUUAUCUAACUCUAAACUCCAAAUUGGCAAAUAAGGCUUGAAUUAAUUAUUAUGCAUCACUUAUGUGUCGCUUAGGCCUACCUCUGGCUCAACGAGGUUCCUUGCAUUUAGGGCGUUUAUUUCAAAACAACGUGUUGAUAUUGUGAUAUUAUCUUAACCCCUAACUCUUUUCUUUUGAUUCUAUUGUUUUCCCAUUUCCUAAGGUUGAUCUGUCCUUCAUCCUGGCACAUACACGAUCAAAAGGGACCCCCCCUUCUCCUUCUUCUCAAAGAGCAAGCUCAAAAGACAAAGGAAAAAUGGUUGACGACAACAGCACCACUGAAAGGGUAGAAGCUUCUGAGGGAGGACAACUUCAUAGUAAUCUUAUCCUAAGACUCGAGCGCAAGAUUUCGCAGUUGGAAGAAGAGGUAGCCAACAUGCGUGAUUUGGCCAAGUUGUCUAUCUCUCUUGGAACCCAAUUUGGAGAAAACACAGACAAUCCUCCUAAUCAAACAGCCACGCCAGACAAUCCUCCGAUCCAUAUAUCCCCACCUGAACCCAUUCGUCCAAAUGCCUUUCCACCACCCCACGCCCAAAAUACCCAAUUUCCAUUUCACCACUAUUACCAACAUACCAAACCAACUGUCCCAGAAACAACCCCAAACACAAAUAUCCCACAUACUUUUGGGAACAACAAUCCCAAUCCCAUAUACGUUGAAACUGCCCCUCUGACUCAUGACCUCCAUGAGUCAGAGUCCCAUCAGAAAGACAUCUUAAUAAAAACCCUGACUGAGAGAUUAGACAACUUGACCAACAGGGUACAACACGUGGUAGGAAACAAAAGGUUGGGAGGAUUGGGCUAUGAGGAUCUGUGCAUGCAUCCUGAUGUGGAACUGCCCGAAGGAUACAAGCUUCCGAAGUUUGAGACGUUCAAUGGCAUUGGGGAUCCCAAAGCCCACCUACGAAUGUAUUGCGACAAACUUGUAGGGGUGGGGAGAGAUGAGAGGAUACUCAUGAAGUUGUUCAUGAGGAGUCUUACUGGGGAGGCCCUAUCAUGGUACAUUGAGCAAGACUCGCGGAAAUGGAUAAAAUGGGUUGAUAUGGCAACUGACUUCAUGAAUAGGUUUGGUUUCAAUAUUGAAAAUGCGCCUGAUUGGUUUUACAUUCAGAACCUAAAGAAGAAACCGAGUGAAUCCUUCAGAGAAUAUGCCAUAAGAUGGAGGUCUGAGGCGGCUAGGGCCAGACCCCCUAUGGAAGAAUCUCAAAUGAAAGACUAUUUCAUCCGUGCCCAAGAACCACAAUACUAUGACCGAAUGAUGCUGGUGGCUGAAAAGAGUUUCGCUGAAAUCAUCAAACUAGGCGAAAGAAUUGAAGAAGGCAUAAAGAAUGGGACUAUCAUCAACUUGGAGGCUUUACAAGCAACCAACAAGGCUCUGCAAUCUGGUGGAAUGACAGAGAGUCGAAAGAAAACAGGUUCUGUAAUGAUGGCUCAUGGAACUAGGACCCCUUUGAGGCACAAGACAACAAACCCACCACCAUCCCCAUACCCUCACACCCCAUACCUUCACACCCCAUACCCUCAACAUCCCUCAGCUCCACCCCCUAUAUCUCCCCAACCCAUGCCAAUAUAUUACCAAAAUGCUCCUCCUCAAUAUUUGCAUGCCUCAUAUCCUGUCUAUAAUGUUCAACCAACACACUUCCAAACUCCACCACCCACUCAAACACCAAAUUACCGAAACAGACCUUCCUAUGAAAGAAGACCUACAAAAACCUAUACCCCUUUGGCUGAACCCAUAGCACAACUUUAUGAGAGACUGAAACAAGCUGGGUACGUCUCUCCAAUUCCUGCAUUACCUGUGGACGUUCGCGCGAAAUGGUACGACCCUAACAAGGUCUGCGCCUACCAUUCUGGGAUGAAGGGCCACACCACCGAAGUUUGCAGAGCCCUUAAGGAUAAGGUUCAAAUGUUGAUUGAUACAAAGACCAUCCAACUGAAGGAUCCUACACCGAAUGUUGCGAAUAAUCCUCUCCCUAACCAUCAAGUCAACAUGGUGGAAGCUGGUGAUGUCUGGGAUUGGGAAGAAUCUAUCUGGGCCGUCGAAACAGAGGAAGCCAUGCCUACCACUGCCCAGGCACCACUAAUAGUGCAAGGACUCGCCCCAUUUGAAGUAGAAGUUGCUGCACCCAGACCACCAUUCGCUGUCUAUAAGGCAUCCUCCCCAACACAAUGUGACACACAUGCUGUACCUUGGGAUUACAACAAAAGAGAAACAAAUGUGGAAGAGACAGAUGUUGCAACAAGGGUCACCAGAUCUGGAAGAAUUUACACUUCUGAAAAUUUGGUUCAGGGAAGCUCUAGCAAAUCCAAAGCGCCAAUCGUAGAGCUCGAGGAUCAAAGUAUUUGGAAAAAGGUUAAAGCUAAAGAAUACUCUGUCAUUGAGCAGCUGAGUAAAACCCCUUCCCAAAUAUCAAUUCUGGAGUUACUACAAUCUUCCGAAACUCAUCGAGAUGCCCUUCUGAAGAUCCUUGGUGAAGCUUAUGUCCCGUCCAACAUCACUCAUGGAGAGGUAUCCCAAAUGGUGGGGCAGGUCUUUGAGGCUUACAAAAUAUCUUUUCACAAAGAUGAACUGCCAAUCGAAGGAACAACUCACAAUAAAGCUUUGUACAUUUCGGUUCAGUAUCAGGAUAAGGUGAUAAACAAAGCAUUAGUUGAUGCAGGUUCAGGUUUAAACAUUUGCCCUCUGAGCACACUGACGAGGCUGGGUGUGGAUAGUGCAAAAAUUCAGACAUGGAAGAUGAAUGUGAGGGCAUUUGACGGCUCUCAGAGAGGCACUAUUGGGGAGAUAACCUUGGACAUGCUCAUUGGUCCUGUCACUUUCCCCAUAGCUUUCCAAAUUUUGGACAUCCCUUCAUCGUACAACUUAUUAUUGGGUCGUCCAUGGAUUCAUAUGGCUGGAGCGGUUCCAUCUACUCUUCACCAAUGCCUGAAGUUUGAAUGGGAUUAUGAAGAGGUUGUGGUCCAUGGGGAAAAAGGGCAUCCUGUAUACACGAUUGAAGGAAGAGAGAAUAUGGAUGGCGAAAUGUACCAUACAGUGGAGCUUGUUGGUAAUAUUGAGUUGCAACCUUGGUUCAGCCAAAAAAUCAUAGAUAUGAUGGCCUGGUUCGGUUUCGAGCUUGGGAAAGGUUUGGGGGCUAAAUUACAAGGGAUAGUCGAACCUAUACAGCCUGUUCGACAUUCCACCACUUUUGGUUUGGGUUAUAAAUACACCACCGAAGAAUGGCUCGAUUGGCGACCACCUAGAGAUGGGUACUACUAUCCAUUGAAGAAACCCAUACCGCCAUUGUAUCAAUCAUUUCGAUCAGCAGGUUUCAUGGGAGACAAUAUUGAUGAGAUCUCAGACGACUUGAAGGGGUUAUCGCUAACCAAAGAAGAAGGGAAAGUUUGCAACGUCGUGAUCAACGAGGAGGAGAAAGGGGGCCCUAGUGGAAGCAAGGAGGCAAAGAUCAGCGUCAGCAACUGGACCUCGACUCCAUCCAGACCUCGUCGAGCAUCUGGGUAGCCUUGGAAGAUGUUUUUCUAUCAAAUUUUAAUUCAAAUAAAGGAGUUUUAAUAAACGUUUUAAUUCCCGUCCCAUGUAUUGCUUUCAAAUGAGGACUUAUGAAAUUUUCGAAUCUUUAUCAAUAAAGUUCUUUUCCCAUUUUUUUUGUCUUGUAUUUAAUUUUUACUAUUUUUUUUCUUUCUUCUCACCAGCAAAAUUCAUUAUAAAAAUGUCGAAUCUGAGAUUGUGGCAUACAAUGAGACUGCUCAGCUUAACCUUAAUGACUUAGAAGAAGUCGAAGACAAUGAGGUUCCCGAGGAGUUAAUCAAAAGGGUUGAGGAAUUCGAGGAAAAACCCAAUCCAAAUUUGGUAGAGACAGAAGUGGUGAAUUUGGGAAAUGCAGAGGUGAUACAAGAAACCCGAGUAAGCAUCCAUAUGACAAAAGAAGACAAGAAAGAGUAUACCGAGUUUCUCAUAGAGAAUAAGGAUAUUUUCGCGUGGUCCUACGCAGACAUGACAGGGCUAAGUACUGCAAUCGUAGCCCAUCGACUACCCACUGAUCCAGCAUGUCCUCCGGUAAAACAGAAGCUGAGAAAAUACAAGCCCGAGAUGAGUUUGAAAAUCAAAGAAGAAGUAUCAAAGCAAUUAGAUGUUGGGAUACUCCAAGUGACAGAAUACCCAACUUGGCUUGCAAAUGUCGUUCCAGUGCCCAAGAAAGACGGCAAGGUCAGAGUUUGCGUGGAUUACCGAGAUCUCAAUAAAGCUAGCCCUAAAGAUAACUUUCCAUUACCAAACAUACACAUACUGAUUGAUAAUUGUGCUAAGCACGAAACUCAGUCAUUUGUGGAUUGCUUUGCCGGCUAUCAUCAAAUUGAGAUGCACAAAGACGACGCUGAGAAAACCGCUUUCAUCACGCCGUGGGGCGUCUAUAACUAUAGGGUGAUGCCUUUUGGACUAAAGAACGCUGGAGCUACGUACAUGAGAGCGAUGACUACUUUGUUUCACGACAUGAUCCAUAAGGAAAUUGAGGUUUAUGUGGAUGAUGUCAUCAUCAAAUCAAAGGAAAGUUUAAAUCAUUUGGAGGAUUUACGGAAAUUCUUUGCCAGGCUACGCAAGUACAAUCUGAAACUGAAUCCGGCAAAAUGUGUCUUCGGUGUGCCUGCUGGAAAGCUUUUAGGUUUCAUUGUCAGUCGUCGAGGUAUAGAAUUGGACCCGUCAAAGAUCAAAGCCAUUCGUGAUCUUCCCCCACCAAAGAACAAGAAGGAGGUAAUGAGUUUCUUGGGGCGACUUAACUACAUCAGUCGUUUCAUUGCUCAGUCUACUGUCAUCUGUGAACCUAUCUUCAAGCUGUUAAAAAAGGAUGCUGCAGUGAAAUGGACAAGUGAAUGUCAACAGGCAUUUGACAAGAUCAAAGACUAUCUAUCCAAUCCUCCUGUAUUGGUGCCACCAGAGUCAGGUAGACCAUUACUUUUGUAUAUUUCAGUAUUGGAUAAUGCUUUCAGUUGCAUCUUGGGACAACACGAUGAAACAGGGAGGAAGGAGCAAGCAAUAUAUUAUAUGAGCAAGAAGUUCACAUCGUGCGAAGCCCGAUACUCUCUAUUAGAGCGUACCUGUUGUGCUCUAACAUGGGUUGCCCAAAAGUUACGACAUUACCUCUCAUCGCAUACCACUUAUCUGAUUUCAAGGAUGGAUCCUUUGAAGUAUAUCUUUCAAAAGCCUAUGCCCACAGGUAAACUGGCAAAAUGGCAGAUACUGUUGAGUGAGUUUGACAUAGUGUAUGUCACGCAAAAAGCAGUGAAAGCACAGGCAUUAGCAGACCAUAUGGCAGAGAAUCCCGUGGACGAUGAUUACAGACCGCUGAAGACCUACUUCCCAGAUGAAGAGGUGGCGUUUGUGGGAGAGGACAUUUCUGAAGAAUAUGAUGGAUGGAGAAUGUUUUUUGAUGGAGCUAAAAAUCUGAAUGGAUGCGGCAUUGGGGCUGUUUUGAUCUCACCCACCGGGCAACAUUAUCCAGUAUCAGCAAAACUCAGAUUCCUUUGCUCAAAUAAUAUGGCCGAAUACGAAGCCUGCAUACUAGGUCUCCGACGGGCGAUCGACUUGGAUGUCCAGGAAAUGAUAAUAAUAGGGGAUUCAGACCUAUUGAUCCAUCAGGUUCGAGGUGAUUGGGCAACAAAAAAUCGAAAGUUGUUACCAUAUUUGGAGUGCGUGCACAAGCUAUGUAAAAGGUUUGUCAAAACAGAAUUUAGACAUGUACCAAGGGUCCAAAAUGAAUUUGCAGACGCCUUAGCCACUCUGUCUUCUAUGAUUCGACACCCUGAUCACAAUUACAUCGAUCCUAUUCACAUUCAUAUACAUGAACAACCAGCUUAUUGUUUCCAUGUUGAGGAAGAGCCUGAUGGAAAGCCCUGGUAUGAUGACAUUAGAAGAUAUUUGAAGAGUGGUGAAUACACAGAAGAUGCAACAAGUGUACAAAAGCGUACAAUUCGAAGGUUAGCAACCCAAUUCUUCUUAAGUGGGGAAAUACUCUAUAAGAGAACUCCCGAUUUGGGACUGCUAAGAUGCGUCGAAGCAAGAGAGGCUCGCAGGCUGGUCGAAGAGAUACAUGCAGGCACCUGUGGCCCUCACAUGAACGGUUUUACAUUAGCAAAGAAGAUUCUGAGAUCAGGAUAUUAUUGGCUAACUAUGGAGACAGACUGCAUUCGCUACGUCCAGAAAUGCCAUCAAUGUCAGACUCACGCAGAUAUGAUUCGAGUACCUCCCAACGAACUCCAUGUCACUAGUUCACCUUGGCCGUUCGCAGCAUGGGGCAUGGAUGUCAUUGGUCCAAUCGAGCCAACAGCAUCCAACGGGCACAGAUUCAUUCUUGUUGCAAUUGACUAUUUCACCAAGUGGGUUGAGGCCACCUCCCAUAAAUCAGUGACAAAGAAAGUUGUGGAUGACUUUGUCAAAAACAACAUUAUUUGUAGGUUUGGAAUUCCUGAGUCAAUCAUCACCGAUAACGGCACCAACCUAAACAGUGACCUGAUGAGAUCAAUGUGUGAGAAGUUCAAGAUCAGUCAUCGAAACUCUACAGCAUACAGGCCACAGAUGAAUGGGGCUGUUGAGGCGGCAAACAAAAACAUCAAAAGGAUAUUGCGCAAGAUGAUCGAUAAUCACAAACACUGGCAGGAAAAGCUACCUUUCGCAUUGCUGGGGUAUCGUACCACAAUCAGAACUUCCACAGGGGCCACACCUUACUUCUUAGUAUACGGCACCGAAGCUGUGAUACCCGCCGAAGUUGAGAUACCUUCCCUAAGGAUCAUCCAAGAAGCAAAGUUGAGUGAUGCUGAUUGGAUACGAGGUCGGGCAGAGAAUUUGGCAUUAAUAGAUGGAAGAAGAAUUAACGCCAUUUGUCAUGGUCAGCUCUAUCAGAAUAGAAUGGCCAGAGCUUUCAACAAGAAGGUUAAACCCAGACAUUUCUCACCUGGGCAACUGGUUUUGAAGCGGAUUUUUCCAAAUCAAGACGAGGCAAAGGGUAAAUUUUCACCAAAUUGGCAAGGUCCAUACAUAGUCUCUCGAGUACUGACAGGCGGAGCCCUCAUACUUGCAGAAAUGGAUGGAGAAGUUUGGCCAAAACCUAUCAAUUCAGAUUCUGUGAAAAAAUAUUACAUCUAGAGAUUGAUUCAUGCUCUUUUGUAAUUUGGAACUACGUCAGACCUGAUUCCCAUUUAAGAGGGGAUACGUAGGCGCUCCUAUGGGGUUCGGUCUUAUUAUAAAUAAAACUUUCAUUUCCCCCUUUUCUACUGAUAACUGGGGCAGAAUUUUUGAGAGGAUCUCAAAAAUUCCAUCAAGACUUCUCCUGGCACAUCUUCAUACUGGGGCAGAAAUUUUGAGUAAACUCAAAAUUUCACCAAAAGUUUCUUCUCAACAAGCAGUCAGCUUACAACGAAGAUUAAAUGAUAGCUCCACUUUUGAGUCAGACGUUGUAAAGUCUCAACCUAUGCCAUGGUCAAAGAUUCGACAUCAGCUUUUAUUAAAUGAUAAUUUCAAAAUCUUUGAAAGUUUUUGUUUUUAUUAUUAUUAUUUUUCUCUCCUUUUCCCUUUUUUUUUAUGAAAAAAAAAAACAGACGCUCGAAGAGGUGUGGAUGGCAAGCCAAAGGAGCACGCUGCGCCAAAUCAUGGAUACAGAUCAACCUUCCCCCCUUUAAACUAACUAUUUCUCUUUGAAUGUAGAAAAUACAGGUACAUAUACAAAGGCAACUGCAACAAUCAACAUCACCACAUUUGAGCCGACACAUGACACUCGAUCCUUCCAAUAAGGCGAACGCCCAAGCUACUAUGCUCGAUACUAUGCCUGAUAUCACACUAUGCUCAAAGAACUACAUCAUUAUGUUAUGCACGAGAAUGCCAAAUGCAUUAUUGCAUGCGCUCGAUAUUUUAUGUGCCCGAAGAAACACAUUAUUGCAUGUGCUCGAUAUUUCAUGUGCCCGAGGAAAUACAUCAUCGCAUAUGCCCAAUAUUGACUUAUGCUCGAAGAAUUGCAUUAUUGCAUGCGCUCGAUAUUUUAUGUGCCCGAAGAAAUACAUUAUUGCAUGUGCUCGAUAUUUCAUGUGCCCGAGGAAAUACAUCAUCGCAUAUGCCCAAUAAUUGACUUAUGCUCGAAGAAUCACAUUAUUGCAUGCUCUCGAUAUUUUAUGUGCUCGAAGAAAUGCACCAUUACAUAUGCUCGAUACUGCAUGUGCCCGAUAUUAUAUUGUGCUUGAAGAAGUGCAUCAUUGCAAUAUGCUCGAUAUUGCAUGUGCCCGAAGAAAUGCAUUAUCGCAUUGUGCCUGAGACUUCAUUGUGCCCGAAGUUUGCAUAAGCUCAAGAUUGCAUCGUGCUCGAAGUUUACAUGUGCCCGAAUCAAAUCAAGUCAUAAGUAUCAACAGAUGUCAAAAACAGAUACGCUCUCUUUACUCAUUACUGAUAUCCCAAAGGCGUCAUCCUCCAAAGGCAUCAUCUUUCAUAGCCUGCGGACUUCAUGUCAUGGCCUGAGGACUUAUUUUAUGCAUAUCAUGUUCCUAAGGCGUCAUAGUCUAAAGGCAUCAUCCUCAUGGCCUGCGGACAUCAUAUCAUGGCCUAAGGGUUUAAUUUCUUCCUAUCAUAAUCCGAAGGUGUCAUAGUCUAAAGGCGUCAUCUUCAUGGCCUGCAGACAACAUUUCAUGACCUGAGGAUACAUUUCACGUAUCAUGGCCCUAGACACCAUAGCCUAAGACAUCAUCUUGCAUGGUCUUAAGGCAAACAUUCAUGGUCUAUAUGGGAAAUUGCAUCAUGUUUACAUUCACCGCUUAUUUUGCUCUAAUUACUCUACUACAAGUUACAGUUAUGCAGAUUACAGACAAAGUCGCCUUCUGAACGGCUGUUCCUUUGCUUACACACAAAGGCUACAACAAAUUCUUGGCUACUCGAACUAUUGUUUCGCUAUCAUUCAGGCUACCAUGAAGAUAUCUUCGGAUUCAACUCGCCACUGUGACUUUCUAUGUCUUCAGCUAGGCUCGUCCGCCUUACAAUGCGACAUCUAGGCUCGUCCGCCUUACAAUGUGACAUCUAGGCUCGUCCGCCUUACAAUGCGACAUCUAGGCUCGUCCGCCUUACAAUGCGACAUCUAGGCUCGUCCGCCUUACAAUGCGACAUCUAGGCUCGUCCGCCUUACAAUGCGACAUCUAGGCUCGUCCGCCUUACAAUGCGACAUCUAGGCUCGUCCGCCUUACAAUGCGACAUCUAGGCUCGUCCGCCUUACAAUGCGACAUCUAGGCUCGUCCGCCUUACAAUGUGACAUCUAGGCUCGUCCGCCUUACAAUGCGACAUUUAGGCUCGUCCGCAUUAAAACGACAUUUAGGUUAGUCCAUCUUAUAGGACAUUUAGGUCGUCCACCUUAAAAAGGACAUCUAGGCUUGUCCGCCUCAUAAUACAUUUAUGUUCGUCCGCUUUAUAAGAUAUUUAGGUUGUCCGCCUUAAAACGACACUUAGGCUCGUCUGCCUUAAAAUGACGUUUAGACUUUCCUUACAACUAGAUAUUUUCGUCUAUACUGUUAUAUCUUUAUAGUAUCAAAUCUAUUGGAGUUUGACGUCAUUCUUCAGAGAUGGGUUCAAUCCUUCAAGAAGUUACAGACAAUCAAGGCUUGCAAAUUUGCAGAUAUGAUCGAUCGCCCUUGAUUACAAUUAUCACGCUAUCCUCUAUCACAACAAUGACCCUAUCAAUUCUUCGUUUUUCAUACUCCGAACCCUCGCUCAAAGGCUGAUAGCCUUACUCUAUCAUGCUCUUCUCGAUUCUCUGUCAUACUCUUUCAGCCUCUCAAUCUCUCUUUUCUCGUUACUCUAUUCUUAUCCAUUCAAGCCGAUAUCGUGCCUUUCAAAUACCUUAGCGCUCUUUCAAUUUUUAAGAGUUUCAUUUGCUCUUGAAUCUAGAACUACACACGACCUGAUUCUCGUAUAACCAGAGAUAUGUAGGCGACUUAAAACCAAAGUCUCGGUCGUACCUUUUUUCAAUUCUAUAUCGUUUUAAUUGAUCCAACUGACAUCUCUCGUCGGUCGGACAAAAUCGGCUACUAAGUCAACGUUGGUUGCCUGACAAUUCAUUCUUCAUUCUCAAUCAACCAAGGGGCAGCUGUUGACACCCAAUUUUGACCGACCUUUGAACUUUUUAGAAAUACUAUUCGAUUAAAUACGUAUUUUAAAUUUUAGAAUUUUUAAUCGACUUUGCUUGAAAGUCACAUAUUUUAGUAUGUUUUAUUCUAUAAAAUUAUCGUAAAUAUUAUUAAAAUAUUUUAAAAUUAUUAAUGAAUUUCAAAUGUUAAAAUUUAAAUGAUUUUCAAUUACAUAAAAAAAUAUUUAAUAUAUGUAGUAUUUUAAUUAAAUAGUAAUUCCUACACUUUCCUUAAAUUUUAAAUUCUAGCCUAUUUAUUCCAAUUUCUUUCAAUUCUAGCCACAUGAAUUAGAGUUUUAUUACAAUCAUAGCCUCUCUUUCAUUCCAAUUCUAGCCAAAUGUUAUUGCAAUUUUAGCCAUUCCGUAUCUAACUCAUCUAAUUUCAAGAAAUCAUCUUUUGAUCUCAUCCGUCCAUCUUAAUUAAUUCCUAGAUCUAAUCCUAACCCUCCAUCUCUAUCUAAUCGACGGUUGUGAUUAAAUUCCUUUUCUUCUUGAUUCCAACACACUAAAAAAAAAAACAAAAAACAACAAAAUCAAAACCUAAAAUUUCUACUCCCCCCCUCUCUCCAUCCGUCUCCCUCUCCCUUCUCUCUUCCUCUCCUCCAUUUUUUUCGGCAAAAGCCAUCAUCGUCGGUGAGCUCUCCCUCUCGCUCCUUCUUCGUUUUUUCUUUUCUCCCUUCUUCCCCUCCUCUCCUCCCCUCUUCUUCUCCUUUUAUCCUCAUCUGACCAGCAGCCUGCGAGCCCCGCCAGCAGCAGCCGGCAACGCGAGGCCACAACGAACAGCAGCCGCCUCUUCUUUCUCCUCUCCGACGCACGCAGCAGCAGCAACCCACCAGCAGCCUGCGCAGCAGCAGCACCUGGAGCGGCGCACGACAGCAGUCAGGCCACUCCGGCCAGCAGCUGCGACCAACAGCAGCAACUGGCGCCCCUCUCUUCUCUCUCCCUUCUCCAGCGCUACUCUCUCUCCCCCUCCCGUCUCUUCUCUUCCCUUCUUCUUCUAUUUUUAUGCAGGCACCAGCGCCUCCCGCCAGCAAGCAGCUCACUCGCCCUUUCCUCUUCCGGUGACACAACGGGCAACAAUUCAGGCUAUGGUCAGCAAUGGCGUGAAAUCCGAACUUAGUGUUUGAGAAAUGACGGAUCUGGACAGAUCCGUCUAGGUUUGUUCUAGUCAAUUAAUUGUUAUUCAUCUCUUAAUAUUCUUAGUUGUUGGUCCUUGGCAUGCUCUGGAUUUCUAUACAUCUACUUUAUGUGAGUAAAAAUGUUUUGAACUGCAUUGUAGAAGGAGCCAUGAGUUUUUCUUUUUUUUUAUCUUAAGCAUGUUUCGUUGUAAGUUGCUGAUGUUUGAAUGCUCUUAUAUCUAUAUAAUUGGCUUCAUUAUAAUUUGAUGAUAUGCAGAAAGAAAUAAUAUGUUCUUGAUUUAGAAUUGUGGACCCUUGGUUUUAAAUUGAUUAACUUCUUAAACUAAUAUGAUGCAAAUUUUCCCUCAACUUUGAUGCCUACGGAUUUGUUUUUGAUAUCAACUUAGUAAUUUUGUAUGAUCCUUUUGUUGAACUACGUGACUGAUGCACAUGAUGAAAUUGUAGGUUCUGUGAUCUUUGUAAUAUUGAUACCUCUCCCUUAAUUAAUUACUCUUGCCCGACGAAUUUGUAAUUGAUAGCUUAUUAAUCAAUUUCUUGUUUUAUUCGGUUGUGUAUAUUUUUGACAUGUUAAUUUUGGUUUUAGUAUUUUUGAAUUUGACUCAUAUUUGGCUCUUCAUUAUUUAAGGAAAAAUUAUAUAUCUCUUCCCAAUUUUAUAUUUUACUUGCUUACAUGGUAAAGUAAUAUUAUUUUUUGGCUCUUCUUUGGGAAAAUAUAUUCUCUUAUUUAUUUAUAUUUGGUAAAAUAUAUAAAAGAUAAAGGAUAAUUUCUUAUUUGUUUAUAUAUGGUCAAAAAUAAUUAAUUAUUUUCUGAUUUUGGAUUCUUCUUCAUUUGUGAAAAUAUUACUCUAUUAAUUUAUUCUUACUUGUUUAUAUUUGGUAAUGAAAUAUUUUAACAUAUUUUCUGAUUUGGAUAUCCUUUAAAAUAAGGAAAAUUGUAUUAUGAUUGAUUCCUUGAAAUAUUUAUUUCCCUUAUUUGUUCCCCCUCCUCUACUAUAUAAAGAGACUCCUUUUAUUCAUUCAAAAUAUACCCAUUCACUCUCAACCAAAAAUUCUCUCAUCACUCUCCCUUCUCUCAUUGCUCUCUUGCUACUUUAAACAAUAUAUUAAUAUUUCGGCAAAUAUUCAAGUGCUUUUCUCCGCUAUUUUCCUGCUUUGUUCGAGUACAAGGUGAAUCAUUUUGUUUUGUUUAACAGGUUUCAUAUUUGAAGUUCAAGUUGAAGAUUAACUGAAGAAGGAUUUGUUUAUUUGUUUGAAUGUAUAUAUGUCUAUAUAUUUUAUUUUUUCCGCUAUUUUAUUUAUUCGAAUGUUGUAACAAUUGUAACCCUAAGAUCAUAUAAUAAAGUUAUUUGGGGGUCGUCUAGGGGAGGGGGAUUUAUAUGCUUACUUGCUCAUUAUUUUUUUUUUUAGAAAUCAUGCCUAUAGGUUUGUCUUUAACCACCUAGAUUUGAUAUUUGUAGGUGUUAUAAUCUAAUCAAUUUUCAAUUUGCUUGACGUUUUUGUUAACAAGCCUUAAAAAAAUAAGAACUAGAGUCCAUUAAUUUUUAAAUGUUAAAAUCAAAUCCUAAUAAAUCUAGUAGGUUGUUAGAUGUUAAAAUAUUAUAAAUUCUCAUUUGUCUUAUCAUGUAGAAACCAUGUCUAAGGUUUAAUUUGUUCAUACCAUUUACGAAAUCAUGCAUAUAUAUGUUACUUUUUUUGAACACCUAGAAAUCAUGUCUAUAGGUUUGUAAAUAAGAGAAUAAAAUUUGUUUGUGCAUAUUUGAGUCCUCCCCUAAAAUUAAUUAAUAUUAUUUAACUAGUAAUCCCAUUUGUUUUCCACAUUCGUGAUGCAAUAUUUUUUUCUUUUUUCUUAAUACUAACUUAGAAUCAUUUCAUGCAUUUAACUUGGCUUUAAAAAACAUUUCAAAACCUUGUAACAUAAAUUUUUUUUAAAAAAAAGUCAUUAUUCAAUCUUUCUUUAAAUUUUGGAUUGAUUAUGACUCUACUUUAUUUUGAAAUAAAUUAUAAAGUACUAUCUCCUAACCUAUCGUUAGUGGGAAAGUCAAAGGAACUACGAGGUCUAGUUCCAAUUUUUUAAAAACCGAUGCGUCCCCGGAAGUACCACUUCCCAUGAAUUUCAAAAAGAAUUAUGUGCAUUUAUAUGUAAUUGUUUAUGUGCCUACGUGUGAACUAAAUAUUUUAAAUCAUUUUUCAAAACAUAACUAUUUUUAGACCGACCUCAAAUCAAAAUUGUUUCUAUGGUGGAGGAGCACGAUCAAUAAUAUCGUGGCAUCAUCCCUAUAAAGAAACAAACAUUUUUUUAAAAAAAAAAAAUAAAUAAAUAAAAAAUUCCUAUUCAAAACUUAUCAAUUUUCAAACUUUAUUUUCGCACAUAUUAAUUGCUUAAUAUUUGCCAAUUUUGUUUAUAACAUAGUGUCGUAUGUCAAAAUAAAUAUUUAUUGCCAUCACCUAGCUUUACAUAUCUAAAUAAGAAUAAUAGUCUUAAUUGUUUCGUAUUUGUUAUCACUUAGUAAGAUUAAAUAAAUUAAUAAACGACCUUGAUUGCUAUUUGUACCCCCACAUAGAUUGCAUGAGAUACGGCCGGGACCCACACUUGUGGACCUCGAGGGAUGCCUAACACCUUCCCCUCGAGGUAAUUUGAACCCUUACCCUAAUCUCUGGCCCGUUGACCUUAGUUAGACUUAGUUAGGUUAGAUAGGCGCCCUAACGCGCCUUAAUUCGUUAGGUGGCGACUCCAAAACUCAAAAAUCCCAAAAGAGUUGUUAGGUCGUGCACAAAACCCGUUUUCCGCGAAAAUGGGG